rnacentral:lncRNA from 1 species
CUGCUACAUGAUUUUUGCAUGUUACUCAUGAUUUUUGCAGCUGCUACAUAAAUACAAAACACAUGUUUGUAUUUAGGUAGAACGCGAAACUCAUGAUUUCGGACCAACGAACUUGCAAAUAAGAGUCAUAUUUCAGUUGGUAAAUAACACCCACUGGCGUGAACUGAUUCAUUUGAGAAGAUGCGUGUAUCCAUGUUUUUGUGGGUAUGUAGCUCAAUAUAUAUAGUUUUUUGUUUUAGAUUUUCCUUUUACAAGAAGUAUAUAACUGAAUAGUUAGAUUAAGAUCAUUAUAAAUAUUGAAUUCUCUUAGCUACUUCAUGAAGAUAUAGUUAGGUGUUGGUGGAAGCUGAAAUUAAUUAUGUAUACGUUUUGUGGGUUGGAGUUCCAAAGUUUAGUGACCAUCUGCUGCUAUAAGCAAAUAGUAGGCAAAUCAGGAGUUCAAUUGCGUUUUUUUCAUAUUUUUUUUGAGCAAUAUAUAUAUAACUUGAGUUCAAUUCCAAAACUAUCCUCUAUAUUUUUGGAGACCCACUUCAAUAAAAUUCCUCUCUAUAUUUUUUGCACCCUCCAAUAAGUUUUCUAUAUCUUAUGCACACUCUAGAGACAUAGCUUUGGCCUCCUUAUUUAGCGACGAGAAACUUAGAAUAAAGGAGGACAAUGUUUAAAUAUCUGAUUGAAUAAUCUGUUGAAGUUUUUUCACUAAAGUCUCUCUUUAUAUCAGUAGAAGAGGAUAUGAAGAGCCUCUUUGAGUUGAUUUUAAUUCUCAACACCUAAAAGUUACCGCACUAAUUGUAACACCCUAAAAUUUGCUCCUUUCAAAAUAGAUGAAAAUCGAUUUAGUUUUGUAUUUUUUUGUGCUCAUGAAAAUAUAGGAAAAAAAUAAUAUUUUUCAUUAGAUUAAAUUUUAUUAUAAGGCUUAGCAACAUGGUUGUGUAUACAUGCUGAUGCAUAUGAUUUUGGGUGAUGUCUGCUUAUUGCUCCUUUGUGUGUUGAUAGUAAGAAAAAUAUUUAAAAUACAUUUAGUAGAUCGAUCUUCCUUAUUCGACACGUAUUUAUCUUUUUCUACAAUCAAAUUCCUUGUUUCUUAGCUUAAGAUUUCGGUCAGGGUCUCUCAGAAUCUUUUCUUUCAAACCUAAGUCCCUCGUUUGAGUUUCUCGUCCAUUAAGCAAUCUCUACAAACUUCUUGGGUAUUUUUCUAGCCUUUUCUAUGAGCAUAAAUCUAAUUUUAGAUGCCCCAAAUUAUCUCAUCAUAAGCUCCAAAUACUUUAUUUGGAUUCCUCAUGUUCUAUAAUAUCUCUGAGAAUUUUUCUCAAAUUUUCGAAGCUUUCGGAGUAUUUUUCGUGACUUAACUACUAAUUCUGGACUUUUCUAGAAUUAUUUUAUCCAUGAAAAUAAUUAAUUUCGAAAAUAAUAAUUUCUUCAGUUUACUCAAAUCCAACGUCAUCAUGAUUCAAAGACCAAAUGUUUUAUUUACUAAUGGGCUUUAAUAAUUAAUUAGGCCUAUUAGUAAAGAUGGAGAUUUCAACAUCAAUUAGUACCAUAUUGCUAAUUGAUGUGGAUGUGACGAGUUUUUCUCCCUAUAUAUAUAUAUAUAUGUACCAACUUCUUGGUUAAGCACACACCAAAACUACCAUAAAGAAGCCCCAGAUUUAGGAAUCCCUAGGUAGUAAAUCAAUUUUUUCCCCUCUUUAUCGUCCCAGCAUUGCUGAUCCAUCUACUAUCGCUAUUCUUAUCACGGAGGUGGAGAAUCGUUUGAGCAGCAGGUCUGGUCAUCAAUGCCUAAGGAACCGUGCAACCAGCUUGCUCCGUUGCAUGCCGCAAGUGACAUAAUGAUUAAUGGUCAGCCCAACCUCCUUUCCAAUUCAGUGAUAAUCACGUCACAUGUUUCUGAGUUAAAUAAAUUAGCUACUAAUUUGAUUAGUGUGCAUGCUACCACUUUUCUAAAUUAAAAGCAAACAUAGGUUCUGCGCC